rnacentral:rRNA from 1 species
CUAAAGUAGUAGUAGUUAUGUUCUUGAAACUUAAAAAAUUUGGCGGUAUUUUAGUCUAUUCAGAGGAACCUGUCCGUAAUCGAUAAUCCACGUUGGACCUUACUUAAAUUUGUUUAUCAGUUUGUAUACCGUUGUUAUAAGAAUAUUUUAUCAGAAUAAUAAUUUUCUAGAAUUUUUAUAAAAAUUUAUAUCAGAUCAAGGUGCAGCUUAUGUUUAAGUAGAGAUGGGUUACAAUAAAUUUAUUUAAAUGAAUUAGUUUUUGAAAUAAAAUUAUGAAGGUGGAUUUGAAUGUAAAAUUAUAAAGAUAAAUAAUUUGAUUUAGCU